AACAAGAAAAACAUAAACGAAAA
rnacentral:snRNA from 1 species